GCAAAAUAGCAUUGGCAUACUUUUUCCCUUUCUCUUUUCCUGUUGAUUUUUUUAAGGUUGUGUAUUCCAUAGUUAAUAUGUAUAGCUAUUUGAACCUAAUAACUGUCAACUGCAGCCUUGCUUGAUGGCGCGGUCUCCAUUCCAUUUGCAUAGAUAUGGCCGAGUCCUUUACCGUUUUCAAACGUAGCGCACCGCGUAAAUGAAGAGGCCGCGGGCAGCCGAUGAUGAAGUGCACCUCUCCACAUUAGACGCUCUCUCUCUCUCCCCCGCUCUCUCUACCUCCCGCUCUCUCUACCUCCCGCUCUCUCACUCUCUCUCCCUCUCUCCCACUGUCUGUGUUUGUGUGUUGCUCUCUCUCUCUCUUUCUCUCUCUCUCUCUCGCUCUCUCUCUCCCACUCUCUCCCUCCCCCUCUUCCUUUCUCUCUCUCUCUCUCCUCUCCCCCCUCUCUCCCCCCUCCUCACUCUCUCUUGCUCCCUCUCUCUCUUUGCCAUUUUCACCGGGCAAAUCAACUGUAGCUGUUCCCUUUUAGAGACCCACCAAGUCAUUUCCUUUGCUUGAUGCAAAAAAGGAGGAGGGGAGUGUGUCGGUUGUGUCUUCGUGGCGCGUCUGAACCACGCUCGAACUGGCAGCACCGGAUGGAAGAUGAACCUUGACAGCGUGUCUGGAAAGGUGUGAGAGAGCCAGUGGAGCCCAACGUGGUAGGAGUCGAUUACGGAACAAUCGCCAUUGGCCAGCGUCCUCGGACACCUGGCAAAAACAGCGGAGCAUCAGACCCAGCUACAGCAGGCCCAGAACGAGGUCCUGGUGGAGCUUGGCCGCCGACCGGGAGGCCAUGCGGGGCUCCGGAGAACGUGGCGGGGAAACCCGACCGGGGCGACAAAUAUAUGUCCCCAAAAUGGGGGAGGCCGACGACCCAGAGGUCUUCCUGGAGACCUUCCGGGGGGUGGCCGAGGUCUCCAAGUGGCCGCCGCAGGAGUGGGCCCACCGUCUCCUGCCCCUGCUGACGGGAUGGGUCCCAGCUCGCGGCCCACAGCCUACCAGCAGCAGUCCAGAAGGACUUCGACACCAUCGCCAGGGCUAUCCGGGACCGGUUGGGCCUAAACCCGGAGGAACAUCGCCGCCGGUUCCGGGCCCUGGCCUUCACCGACGGCCGACGGCCCUUCACCUACACCCAGCAGCUGCGGGACCAGGCGAGGAGGUGGCUGGACCCGGAACGAAACACACAGGAGGGAGAUUCAGUAACUGGGGUUCCACCUGGGGCGGGGGAAGGUCCGGCCCCAGGUCGCCGCAGGUCGGUAAGAC
ensembl:lncRNA